UURUCAUAUCAAUAAGCGGAGGAAAAGAAACCAACAGGGAUUGCCCCAGUAACGGCGAGUGAAGCGGCAACAGCUCAAAUKUGAAAUCUGGCCCCCCCGCGGGGUCCGAGUUGUAAUUUGAAGAGGAUGCUUCUGGCGAGGCGCCGUCCGAGUUCCCUGGAACGGGACGCCGCAGAGGGUGAGAGCCCCGUACGGUCGGACGCCGAGCCUAUGUGAAGCUCCUUCGACGAGUCGAGUAGUUUGGGAAUGCUGCUCAAAAUGGGAGGUAAACCCCUUCUAAAGCUAAAUACCGGCCAGAGACCGAUAGCGCACAAGUAGAGUGAUCGAAAGAUGAAAAGCACUUUGAAAAGAGAGUUAAAAAGCACGUGAAAUUGUUGAAAGGGAAGCGCUUGCGACCAGACUCGCGCCCGUCGGAUCAGCCGUCGCUCGUCGGCGGCGCACUCCGGCGGGCUCGGGCCAGCAUCGGUUCGCCUCGGGGGGAGAAAGGCGGCGGGAAUGUGGCUCUACGGAGUGUUAUAGCCCGCCGUGCAAUACCCCCGGGCGGACCGAGGACCGCGCGWAUGCAAGGAU
rnacentral:rRNA from 2 species